AUCGAACGCUGGCGGCAGGCCUAACACAUGCAAGUCGAGCGAGCGGCGGACGCGUGUGUAAUGUAUGUGGACUGCUCGCUAGAGGGGGAUAACUACUGGAAACGGUAGCUAAUACCGCCUACUCUCGGUUAUCCCCUAUGGGUUUAGCUGGUGGGUGGGGUAAUGGCUCACCUAGGCGACGAUCCCUCGCUGGUCUGAGAGGAUGAUCAGCAAAACGGGGACUGGGACACGGCCCGGACUCCUACGGGGGCAGCAGUGGGGAAUAUUGCACAAGGGGCGCAAGCCUGAGGCAGACAUGCCGCGUGUAUGAAGAAGGCCCUAGGGUUGUAAAGUACUUUCAGUCGGGAGGCGUUACCGAAAGAGGAAGCACCGGCUAACUCCGUGCCAGCAGCCGCGGUAAUAC
rnacentral:rRNA from 1 species